GAAGGUAUAGCUUAGUGGCACAGUGCAUGCUUAGCAUGCACGAGAUCCUGGGUUCAAUCCCCAGUAUCUCUA
rnacentral:tRNA from 1 species